rnacentral:rRNA from 1 species
CAGUAGCCACGGUAAUACGUAGGGUGCAAGCGUUAAUCGGAAUUACUGGGCGUAAAGCGUGCGCAGGCGGUUAUAUAAGUCAGAUGUGAAAUCCCCGGGCUCAACCUGGGAACUGCAUUUGAGACUGUAUGGCUAGAGUGUGUCAGAGGGGGGUAGAAUUCCACGUGUAGCAGUGAAAUGCAUAGAUAUGUGGAGGAAUACCGAUGGCGAAGGCAGCCCCCUGGGAUAACACUGACGCUCAUGCACGAAAGCGUGGGGAGCAAACAGGAUUAGAUACCCGGGUAGUCCCUGUCUCUUAUAC